ACGCUCGACACCUACGGGAAGCAGCAGUAGGGAAUCUUCCGCAAUGGACGAAAGUCUGACGGAGCAACGCCGCGUGAACGAUGAAGGUUUUCGGAUCGUAAAGUUCUGUUGUUAGGGAAGAACAAACUUCGUUUGAAUAAGGCGGAGUCAUGACGGUACCUAACGAGAAAGCCACGGCUAACUACGUGCCAGCAGCCGCGGUAAUCUGAGCGGGCUGGCAAGGC
rnacentral:rRNA from 1 species